UACGUAGGUGGCAAGCGUUGUCCGGAAUUACUGGGUGUAAAGGGAGCGCAGGCGGGAAGCCAAGUCAGCUGUGAAAACUACGGGCUUAACUUGUAGACUGCAGUUGAAACUGGUUUUCUUGAGUCAAGUAGAGGUUGGCGGAAUUCCGAGUGUAGCGGUGAAAUGCGUAGAUAUUCGGAGGAACACCGGUGGCGAAGGCGGCCAACUGGGCUUUAACUGACGCUGAGGCUCGAAAGUGUGGGGAGCAAACAGG
rnacentral:rRNA from 1 species